GUCAAGAUGAUUGAGUGGUCUAAGGCGCCAGACUCAAGUUUUGGUCCUUGUAUGAGGGUGUUGGUUCAAAUCCCACUUUUAACA
rnacentral:tRNA from 1 species